UACAGCCAUAUCACGUUGAAACACCGGUUCCUGUACGAUCAUCGGGGUUAAGCAGAGUUGAGACUGGUCUGUACCUAGAUGGGUGACCGCUUGGAAAUAUCAGGUGCUGUAA